UACGUAGGGGGCAAGCGUUGUCCGGAAUCAUUGGGCGUAAAGCGCGUGUAGGCGGCUUAGUAAGUCUGCUCUGAAAGCCCGGGGCUCAACCCUGGGAGGCGGGUGGAUACUGCUGAGCUUGAGUCCGGAAGAGGCGAGUGGAAUUCCUGGUGUAGCGGUGAAAUGCGCAGAUAUCAGGAGGAACACCGAUGGCGAAGGCAGGUCUCUGGGCAUUAACUGACGCUGAGGAGCGAAAGCAUGGGGAGCGAACAGG
rnacentral:rRNA from 1 species